rnacentral:pre_miRNA from 1 species
GGGGGGAGGCUGGAUCCUGGGCUGUGUCCCGGCGCCCUGUGCUCCGGGGCCUGCGCUGUUGGAUUCGCGCUCCCGGGCCGCGCAACCCCCU